rnacentral:rRNA from 1 species
GACGAACGCUGGCGGCGUGCUUAACACAUGCAAGUCGAACGGAAAGGCCCUGCUUUUGUGGGGUGCUCGAGUGGCGAACGGGUGAGUAACACGUGAGUAACCUGCCCUUGACUUUGGGAUAACUUCAGGAAACUGGGGCUAAUACCGGAUAGGAGCUCCUGCUGCAUGGUGGGGGUUGGAAAGUUUCGGCGGUUGGGGAUGGACUCGCGGCUUAUCAGCUUGUUGGUGGGGUAGUGGCUUACCAAGGCUUUGACGGGUAGCCGGCCUGGGAGGGUGACCGGCCACAUUGGGCCUGAGAGAGGGCCCAGAGUCCUACGGGAGGCAGCAGUGGGGAAUAUUGCACAAUGGGCGGAAGUCUGAUGCAGCAACGUCGCGUGCGGGAUGACGGCCUUCGGGGUGUAAACCGCUUUCGCCUGUGACGAAGCGUGAGUGACGGUAAUGGGUAAAGAAGCACCGGCUAACUACGUG